rnacentral:rRNA from 1 species
UGCAAGUCGAACGGCAGCACGGGAGCUUGCUCCUGGUGGCGAGUGGCGAACGGGUGAGUAAUGCAUCGGAACGUACCGAGUAAUGGGGGAUAACGCAGCGAAAGUUGUGCUAAUACCGCAUACGCCCUGAGGGGGAAAGUGGGGGAUCGCAAGACCUCACGUUAUUCGAGCGGCCGAUGUCUGAUUAGCUAGUUGGUGGGGUAAAGGCUUACCAAGGCGACGAUCAGUAGCGGGUCUGAGAGGAUGAUCCGCCACACUGGGACUGAGACACGGCCCAGACUCCUACGGGAGGCAGCAGUGGGGAAUUUUGGACAAUGGGGGCAACCCUGAUCCAGCCAUUCCGCGUGAGUGAAGAAGGCCUUCGGGUUGUAAAGCUCUUUCAGUUGGAACGAAACGGUACGCUCUAACAUAGCGUGCUAAUGACGGUACCGACAGAAGAAGCACCGGCUAACUACGUGCCAGCAGCCGCGGUAAUACGUAGGGUGCGAGCGUUAAUCGGAAUUACUGGGCGUAAAGCGUGCGCAGGCGGAUUGUUAAGCAAGAUGUGAAAUCCCCGGGCUUAACCUGGGAAUGGCAUUUUGAACUGGCAGUCUAGAGUGCGUCAGAGGGGGGUGGAAUUCCACGUGUAGCAGUGAAAUGCGUAGAUAUGUGGAGGAACACCAAUGGCGAAGGCAGCCCCCUGGGAUGACACUGACGCUCAUGUACGAAAGCGUGGGUAGCAAACAGGAUUAGAUACCCUGGUAGUCCACGCCCUAAACGAUGUCAACUGGUUGUUGGGGGAGUGAAAUCCCUUAGUAACGAAGCUAACGCGUGAAGUUGACCGCCUGGGGAGUACGGUCGCAAGAUUAAAACUCAAAGGAAUUGACGGGGACCCGCACAAGCGGUGGAUGAUGUGGAUUAAUUCGAUGCAACGCGAAAAACCUUACCUACCCUUGACAUGUCCGGAAUCCUG